UUGAUCACAGUCACGGAUAGGCUCACAAUGCUGUUGAAUGGGCUUCUGGUGUUUGAUGCUUUCUGUGGGAGGAGAUUUGGUGGUUUGUGACGUCAAGAUUCAGCUGUUGUUCUUUUCACGUUAGAGUUUCAUGUAAACACUGGUUUUAAAAAUGGAUGAUUCAACUCCAAAACCGUGGCAGUUGUGCAAUUUACCUCUCAAACGCCGGCAGCACACAAGAAGUUGGACCAUGUUGGAUACGCUUCUCAGGUUAAACGCCUCGAACCUGGGGUAUUAUUUCAUUCAUUGAAGAAUGAAGAUGAGGAAAUGGCUGACUCACCCAAUCGGUAAUCGAACGUUAGAAACAAUAACUAUGAAACUAGCAGAAAACAGUUGCAGCUUGCAGACUAGUAGAUCCUGCUAAGGUAGGCUAAUUCAAAUUCUUCAUUUACUAGUUGUUUUGCUAGUUAUGUUUACAAGACAAAAAAUAUCACUUGUAU